rnacentral:lncRNA from 1 species
AGGCACAAGCAGCUGAAUGGCCAGGAAGGAUAAUCUGGAAACAGGUAUUCAGUUUAUAAGAGCCCUUAUUUUCAGCAAUGGAGAUCCCAGUUCCAUUAAAUAAGCUUUGAAAAAUAAUCAUAAAACAUAUACAAAUAAUUACCAUAUGAAAAAUUUUCCCAUUGGGUUCUAGAUAUUCUACUGGUAAUUUAAGUGAUGUUGAUAGAAUUAACAAAAUUGAGGUUCACAACUUUAAAAUGAUGCAUGAAUUGUAUUUCUCUUUAAUAGUCACACUCUAGAAAACAGUAUAUUUCACUUAAAAUUUAUAAUUGGUUCUUUUUCUUUUAAGCUAUAUGAAUGGGAUGGAGGAUAAUACCAUCAAUAUGACAGUAUUCAGGCUAGAUAAUUUAGAAUCAAAUUAGCCGUUUUGUUGUUGUUUGCUUCCUUCUUUCUCAUUAGGAGUCUUGAGAUGGACACAUUAUCAGUAAAGGACUUAAAUUUUGCUUAUAUGGACCUAGGUUUUGUCAUUGUAUCUUAGCAAAGUUCUUUUAGGGAUCUUAAAAGUUAUAUCAGAAACUAUUCUUAAUAGUAUGGGAACAUUACGGUAGAAAUGCAAAAUCAGAUGAUAGAUAUUCACUCAGGGCACAAACACCAUACCACAUACACACACACACACACAAACACACACACCAGGAGGUUUUGUGUACUUAUUUUCUCCAAUAUCUGGUCAUAGUGUCGGUUAACUGGUAGAUGAGAACAAAAAGGUACUUAUGCAGGUUAAUUGGUGAUUAAGGAAAACUGUUAGAGUGUUUCUUAGUGAAUUUCUGUCAUUUGCAAAGUAUUUUAGGCUGGAUGGAACCUUGCAAGCCUUCAAGCUUAUGAAACAACAACUCAUGGUUAUUAAGAGCAAAAUGCCCUAGAGAGAUUAAUCUGUGCUAUCCCAACAAGCUGACCUUUUCCCAAAGACAUAGCAAUUUAAUUAUCUACUUUGAAAAGCACAAUUAUAGUAAAAUUCAAAACCAGAUUUAUAGACAGGUUUUAUAUUCUCAUCUAUAAUGCAUGUAAAUAAGAGUUUUUGGGGUUUCUCUUUUCUAGGUCUGUUAUGUGUUUUGUAAAUAUUAAGUGCUAAAUUGUUCUUGCUUUUAAAAUCAUGGACUUGUUUUUUGAUUAAACAUCUGCUGUUAGUAAAAAGAAUAUUUCAAAUUAUAGGUGUUUUAUAGUCUGUGUUCUAAAUUUCACACAUCACUUGCACUGUUUUAAACAGGUGCUUCUAUGGUCUGUUAACCUAAGGAACUUGACCUGGAUGGGAUUUCUGUUUAAAUACAAGCUGAUGAAAAUGAUGUCAUCUUUUAUUUUCUACUUAAUGAUGCUAUAUUUUAUCUUAUAGAAGCAUAAUGUAGAUAAUUCAUCAUAAGAUGAACUUAAAAUAUGGGCUUGAAAUGACAUAAAUUAUGCUUUUAGUCAGCUAAUCAGUUUCAAAUGUUUAUUGAAGAUCCUUCUAUCUGCCAUCAUAACCCCAACCAAUCAGAGAAGGGAGAUAUUUUGAAAGCACACACACAAACACACACACCCCAAAGGACAAGCCCGAGAUAUCAGUGCUUUUCUCUUUCUUUGUUUCUGUGUAUGUGUCUUGUGUACACUACAAUACUGACCACUGCUUGUUAGCCAUGUGCAAGGUCAAUGCCAACAGGGUUCUUGGAAAAUUUUUAUUUGAUCUUAUGAGGUAGCAUUCACAUUUCCCAAUGGCAAUAUGAGUGAUUGUUUUGUAUAACUGUAGCUAUUUAUGUUAAAAUGUAAAAGGGAAAUUUUAGAACUUUUUGAUUUAAUGAAACCUACUAUAGAAAUGCAAAGACAGCAGUGUAGAUAAGGAAAAUGUUGUAACCAGUGUUAAGGUCAUCAUUGUUAAAGAGAGAACAAGCCAAGAACCUGGCUCAACUGACACCAGAUGGUAGAGUACACUCAAGGGCCAAUGAGAUGUUAUGGCAAGUAAGAAAGAACAGAGAGAAUGAUGCUGUAGAAAUCAAUAAAAAAAAGACAGUAGUGUGCAAAGUCAUAGAGUCACAGUAAGCCUGAAACUAUCCUCUAUAGCUAAACACUGAACCAAUACUUAACAGCGUAUACCCAAGAGUUCCCUUACCACAUGUUAACACUGAAGACCAUCAAAGAGCUCCUCCUUCUGUGGUCACCCAAAGUUUUAUACAUAUGUUUGAAACAUACUGAUGUUGGAAACUAGACUCUAUGGGAAAAUGCAAAAAUACAAAGGUAAUAAAAUAUGUUCCUAGUUUUAUAGAUAUAUUAUCUAGCUGUAAGACGAAAAUGCAAAAACAGUGUAUGUUAAUUAUAUACCAAGACUGAACAAUGUUCCCUGGAAGAUGAUCUCAUCUAAGAGGCAUUUUCAAGGAGGUGAAAAAGCUUUCACGUUGAAAUCUCUGAAUAUUGAGAGCAUAUAAUGAGAAUCUAGAAUCAAUGAAAUAUUCCAGGAAGAAAAAUACAAUCUAGGUAUCAAUUUUCUUCCAUUUCUUCAUCAUACAAUACAUUCAAUAGUAUCAACUGAUUGAGAGAGUUGUUGUAGUUUCAGAAAGUCUUGAUUUAUGAUCAAGUAAUGCGAGAAAGCUGCUCCACAGGCAUAAAUGUCCCUUAUACGUUUGCCCCAGAAUGCAAAGUUUCAGUAUUAAAGGUAAAAAUUAAAAAGUGGUAAAAAUAGAUGAAAGGAAAUAAUCCAAUAUCGAUUUAGUUUGACCUUUUCAAAAAGUUAUUUAUGGAAUAUUUUAAAUACAUGGUAUAGAACAGAAUAGAAAACCCAGAAUUAAACCCACACACCUACAGUCAACUAAUCUAUGACAAAGGAGGCAAGAAUAUACAAUGGAGAAAAGACAGCCCCUUCAAUAAGUCCCUUUUUAAUACCAUACACGAAAAUAAACACAAAAUAGAUUAAAGACCUAAAUAUAAGACGGUAUAAUAUAAAACUCCUAGAAGAAAACAUAGGCUGAACACUCUCUGACAUAAACCACAGCAGUAUCUUCUCAGAUCCACCUCCUAGAGUAAUGACAACAAAAACAAAAAUAAGCAAAUGGGACCUAAUUAACUUAAAAGCUUUUGCAGAGCAAAGGAAACCCUAAACAAAAUGAAAAGACAACCCACAGAAUGGGAUAAAAUAUUUGCAAAUGAAGCAACUGACAAGGGAUUAAUCUCCAAAAUUUAUGAACAUCUCCUGUAGCUCAAUAUCAAAAAAACAAACAACCCCAUCAAAAAUGGGCAGAAGAGGAGUUCCCGUCAUGGCUCAGCAGAAAAGGAAUCUGACUAGUAUCCAUGAGGACAGAGGUUUAAUCCUUGGCCUUGCUCAGUGGGUUAAGGAUCUGGCAUUGCCAUGAACUGUGGUAUAAUUCACAGACACGGCUCAGAUACCGCAUUGUUGUGGCUGUGGCAUAGGCCAGUGGCUAUAGCUCCGAUUUGACCCCUAGCGUGGGAACCUCCAUAUGCUGUGGGUGUGGCCCUAAAU